AGAGUUUGAUCAUGGCUCAGAUUGAACGCUGGCGGCAUGCCUUACACAUGCAAGUCGAACGGCAGCACGGGAGCAAUCCUGGUGGCGAGUGGCGAACGGGUGAGUAAAGCAUCGGAACGUGCCCAGUCGUGGGGGAUAACGUAGCGAAAGCUACGCUAAUACCGCAUACGAUCUGUGGAUGAAAGCGGGGGACCGUAAGGCCUCGCGCGAUUGGAGCGGCCGAUGUCAGAUUAGGUAGUUGGUGGGGUAAAGGCUCACCAAGCCGACGAUCUGUAGCUGGUCUGAGAGGACGACCAGCCACACUGGGACUGAGACACGGCCCAGACUCCUACGGGAGGCAGCAGUGGGGAAUUUUGGACAAUGGGCGCAAGCCUGAUCCAGCAAUGCCGCGUGCAGGAUGAAGGCCUUCGGGUUGUAAACUGCUUUUGUACGGAGCGAAAAGGCUUCCACUAAUACUGGGGGCUCAUGACGGUACCGUAAGAAUAAGCACCGGCUAACUACGUGCCAGCAGCCGCGGUAAUACGUAGGGUGCAAGCGUUAAUCGGAAUUACUGGGCGUAAAGCGUGCGCAGGCGGUCUUGUAAGACAGGUGUGAAAUCCCCGGGCUUAACCUGGGAACUGCACUUGUGACUGCAUAGCUAGAGUACGGCAGAGGGGGAUGGAAUUCCGCGUGUAGCAGUGAAAUGCGUAGAUAUGCGGAGGAACACCGAUGGCGAAGGCAAUCCCCUGGGCCUGUACUGACGCUCAUGCACGAAAGCGUGGGGAGCAAACAGGAUUAGAUACCCCGGUAGUCC
rnacentral:rRNA from 1 species